UUGGGACUAGCGAAACCUAAAGGCGAAAUGAAAGUGAAAGUCGGCCUCGCGCCGACCUAGGGAGGAUGGGUCGCGUCACGGCGCGACCCCGCACUCCCCGGGGGUCUCGUUCUCAUUGCGAGAAGAGGCGCACCAAGAGCGUACACGCUGGGACCCGAAAGAUGGUGAACUAUGCCUGGUCAGGACGAAGUCAGGGGAAACCCUGAUGGAGGUCCGAAGCGAUUCUGACGUGCAAAUCGAUCGUCGGAACUGGGUAUAGGGGCGAAAGACUAAUCGAACCAUCUAGUAGCUGGUUCCCUCCGAAGUUUCCCUCAGGAUAGCUGGCGCUCGCUUUUGCGAGUCUCAUCUGGUAAAGCGAAUGAUUAGAGGCAUUGGGGUCGAAACGGCCUCAACCUAUUCUCAAACUUUAAAUGGGUGAGAUCUCCGGCUUGCUUAAAACGUGAAGCCGCGAGAUCGGAUCAGAGUGCCAAGUGGGCCAUUUUUGGUAAGCAGAACUGGCGCUGUGGGAUGAACCAAACGCAGAGUUAAAGCUCCAAAAUCAACGCUUAUGGGAUACCAUGAAAGGCGUUGGUAACUUAAGACAGCAGGACGGUGGCCAUGGAA
rnacentral:rRNA from 1 species